rnacentral:rRNA from 1 species
GAUGAACGCUGGCGGCGUGCCUAAUACAUGCAAGUCGAGCGAACGGACGAGAAGCUUGCUUCUCUGAUGUUAGCGGCGGACGGGUGAGUAACACGUGGAUAACCUACCUAUAAGACUGGGAUAACUUCGGGAAACCGGAGCUAAUACCGGAUAAUAUUUUGAACCGCAUGGUUCAAAAGUGAAAGACGGUCUUGCUGUCACUUAUAGAUGGAUCCGCGCUGCAUUAGCUAGUUGGUAAGGUAACGGCUUACCAAGGCAACGAUGCAUAGCCGACCUGAGAGGGUGAUCGGCCACACUGGAACUGAGACACGGUCCAGACUCCUACGGGAGGCAGCAGUAGGGAAUCUUCCGCAAUGGGCGAAAGCCUGACGGAGCAACGCCGCGUGAGUGAUGAAGGUCUUCGGAUCGUAAAACUCUGUUAUUAGGGAAGAAUAUAUGUGUAAGUAACUGUGCACAUCUUGACGGUACCUAAUCAGAAAGCCACGGCUAACUACGUGCCAGCAGCCGCGGUAAUACGUAGGUGGCAAGCGUUAUCCGGAAUUAUUGGGCGUAAAGCGCGCGUAGGCGGUUUUUUAAGUCUGAUGUGAAAGCCCACGGCUCAACCGUGGAGGGUCAUUGGAAACUGGAAAACUUGAGUGCAGAAGAGGAAAGUGGAAUUCCAUGUGUAGCGGUGAAAUGCGCAGAGAUAUGGAGGAACACCAGUGGCGAAGGCGACUUUCUGGUCUGUAACUGACGCUGAUGUGCGAAAGCGUGGGGAUCAAACAGGAUUAGAUACCCUGGUAGUCCACGCCGUAAACGAUGAGUGCUAAGUGUUAGGGGGUUUCCGCCCCUUAGUGCUGCAGCUAACGCAUUAAGCACUCCGCCUGGGGAGCACGACCGCAAGGUUGAAACUCAAAGGAAUUGACGGGGACCCGCACAAGCGGUGGAGCAUGUGGUUUAAUUCGAAGCAACGCGAAGAACCUUACCAAAUCUUGACAUCCUUUGACAACUCUAGAGAUAGAGCCUUCCCCUUCGGGGGACAAAGUGACAGGUGGUGCAUGGUUGUCGUCAGCUCGUGUCGUGAGAUGUUGGGUUAAGUCCCGCAACGAGCGCAACCCUUAAGCUUAGUUGCCAUCAUUAAGUUGGGCACUCUAAGUUGACUGCCGGUGACAAACCGGAGGAAGGUGGGGAUGACGUCAAAUCAUCAUGCCCCUUAUGAUUUGGGCUACACACGUGCUACAAUGGACAAUACAAAGGGCAGCGAAACCGCGAGGUCAAGCAAAUCCCAUAAAGUUGUUCUCAGCUCGGAUUGUAGUCUGCAACUCGACUACAUGAAGCUGGAAUCGCUAGUAAUCGUAGAUCAGCAUGCUACGGUGAAUACGUUCCCGGGUCU